AACUUUCAGCAACGGAUCUCUUGGCUCUCGCUUCGAUGAAGAACGCAGCGAAAUGCGAUAAGUAAUGUGAAUUGCAGAAUUCAGUGAAUCAUCGAAUCUUUGAACGCACCUUGCGCUCCUUGGUAUUCCGAGGAGCAUGCCUGUUUGAGUGU
rnacentral:rRNA from 1 species